rnacentral:misc_RNA from 1 species
CAGAGUUUUCUAAACUCCCAACCCUAUGUGAACUUACCUAUGUUGCCUCGGCGGGGCCUACCCGGUACCGACCCCUUUUGGGAGAGGUUACCCUGUAGCCCGCCGGUGGACUAUUAAACUCUUGUUAUUUAACGAUAUCUGAGCGUCUUAUUUUAAUAAGUCA